rnacentral:rRNA from 1 species
AUGAAAAAAAAAACAGUCAACGGAAGGUCCUCCCACCGCCAAAUCCGCGGAACACGCCGUGCCCCGCGCCGGCGGCGCCGUUUUCCCCGCCGACUUCCACCUCCGCCCCCGCCCUCGCCCCUCGCAAUGCCUCCUCGCCGAGACCACGGCAAGCAGGCGCAGGAGACGGCCGCUCCCACCCCCGCCCCCUCGUCCACGGCCGCCGGGGGCAUCGAGGAGAAGAUGGAACCUGCGUCCCCCAGCACGGACACCGCAGGGGUCGCGGCCGAGCAGGGCGGCGCCGGCGACGAGCUCUCCGCUCUGUUCAAGGAGUUCUCGCUAGACAGCAGCAGCACCUUCGCCGAGGCGCGGAUCCGGGCCACCUUCUACCCCAAGUUCGAGAACGAGGAAUCCGACCAGGAGUCAAGAACCCGGAUGAUUGAGAUGGUGUCACAAGGAUUAGCUACCAUGGAGGUUACGCUCAAGCAUUCAGGGUCUUUGUUCAUGUAUGCUGGUAACCGUGGUGGUGCAUAUGCCAAGAACAGCUUUGGAAAUAUCUACACUGCUGUGGGCGUUUUUGUUUUGGGUCGCUUGUUUCGUGAAGCUUGGGGGAGAGAAGCUCCUAAAAUGCAAGCGGAAUUCAAUGAUUGUCUCGAGAAAAACCGAAUAAGCAUUUCAAUGGAACUUGUCACGGCUGUAUUAGGAGACCAUGGGCAAAGGCCUAAGGAUGAUUAUGCUGUGAUUACAGCUGUGACAGAAUUGGGUCAUGGCAAGCCUCAAUUCUAUUCUACUCCAAAGUUGAUUGAAUUUUGUCGGAAAUGGCGCCUACCAACAAACCAUGUCUGGCUAUUCUCCACGAGAUAUUUUCAUGCCAUUCAUCUGUUUGAUGUCAUGCAAGUAUCGCUCUCAGAUGAACGUACAUAUGCAUUUGGCGCUGGGGCCGCUCAUAACAUCAUUGUGCUUUCUGUUUACAUCUCCAUUAGGAAAUCCGCCACUUCAUUCUUUGCUGCCUACGAUGCUUUGUGUGAAGAGGGGACUGCCACAUCCGUUUGCAAAGUCCUUGGUGAAAUAGCUGAUAUAUCUGUGCGAGGGUCAAAGGAUCAUGUAAUCGUGCAAGGUGAGAUACUUGAAGGUCUGGUUGCCCGUAUUGUCAGUCGCGAAAGUUCAGUUCAAAUGGAAGUUUUGAGGAACUUUCAACAACCUUCAUUAGACGGAGGCGACUCUGAUUUAGGACUAAGUUUACGAGAAAUAUACGCUGCUAAUAGGUCGGAUGAGAAGCAGCAAAUUAAAGCACUUCUUGAAAAUGCUGGGUCAUCAUUGUGUUCAGACCACUGCGAUUGGUUUGGAAACAGUGGUCUUGACGCUCAAUCUCGAAAUGCUGAUAGAUCAGUUGUCACUCAUUUUUUGCAAGCACAUCCCAUGGACUAUGCAACAAAGAAAUUACAGGAGAUGAUCCGUCUCAUGAAGAAGAGAAAUCUCCCUGCAGCUUUCAAAUGUUACUGGAAUUACCAAAAAAUUGAUUCUCUUUCAAAUGAUAACUUGUAUUACAAGAUGGUUAUCCAUGUCCACAAGGAUUCUGCUUUUAGACGUUAUCAACAAGAGAUGAGGAAAAAUCAAGAGUUGUGGCCACUGUACAGAGGUUUCUUUGUUGAUGUAAACCUGUUCAAGGCUGCUGAACUUUCCGAAGACAGCAACACUUUACCAGAAAAUACCAAUGGUGCUUCGAAUUCAAGAUCGUCAACUAAGGAUGGUCUGGUUGAGGAGGAUUCAAAUUUGAUGGUUAAACUAAAAUUCCUGACCUAUAAGAUAAGGACGUUUUUAAUUCGAAAUGGCCUGUCCACCCUCUUCAAAGAAGGCACAUCUGCUUACAGAACUUACUACCUGAGGCAAAUGGAGAUCUGGGGAACAUCACCAAGUAAGCAAAAAGAGCUUGCCAAAAUGUUGGACGAAUGGGCUGUGUACAUCAGACGGGAGUGUGGGGACGCGCAACCGUCAUCCUCGACAUAUCUUACUGAAGCUGAACCUUUCCUCGAACAGUACGCGAAGCGCAGCCCCGCAAACCGGGCUUUGGUAGGGGCUGCCGGUGGCUUGGUUCAAACAGAAGAUGCCCUGCCCAUACUCGAUGCACGGAGAGGCAAAGAAGGUGACCUUAAUAAGCCAGAACGUGGGACAGCUCCUUGUUAG